GAUGAACGCUGGCGGCGUGCCUAAUACAUGCAAGUCGAGCGAAAAGACGAGGCGAUUGCCUGUCGGAUGUUAGAGGCGGACGGGUGAGUAACGAGUGGAUCCACUACCUAUGAGACUGGGAUAAAUUCGGGAAACCGGAGCUCAUACCGGAUAAUAUAGUGAACCGCAUGGUUCAAUAGUGAAAGACGGUUUUGCUGUCACUUAUAGAUGGGUUAGGUCGUGAUUAGCUAGUUGGUCAGGUCACGGCUUACCAAGGCAUCGAUGGGUAGGAGGCCUGAGAGGAUGACCGGCCACACUGGGACUGAGACACGGCCCAGACUCCUACGGGAGGCAGCAGUGGGGAAUCUUCGACAAUGGGCGAAAGCCUGAUGCAGCAACGCCGCGUGAAGGAUGAAGGCCUUCGGAUCGUAAAACGCUUUUGUAAGGAAAGAAACAGUUUGGAAGUAACCAUGCACCUCUUGACGGUACCGAAUGAGUAAGCCACGGCUAACUACGUG
rnacentral:rRNA from 1 species